AUUGCUAAUAUUGAGAGGAUUGUAUUAGCUGUAACAAGAGGAGGUUCCUUCAUAGGAUCCACUGUACUGACAAAGACAUCUACCGGGGCUAGCAUAUUUGGUUCUCCUUCCCUCUCAUACCUACAUCAAAAUUUUGCUCUUGUACAGAAGAUUUUGUGAAAACAAGGUGUAUGUUGGAAAUUAACUUGACAACUCUAUUGGCUUUAUGUCCAUGCUUAAGGAUUAACUUCUUUUUAGUAUUAGGAGCACAGACUUGCAAAGAAUUGUCACCUGAGAGAGAGACGAUCAAGGUAAGUCUCACGGUCGAUAGGGAACCAUUUGGGAAACUGAUCAAGGAUCCAAGAGAAGGCAAACCAGAUCUCACAGAUGAUAGAAGUUAACCAGAGACCAAUCGCAUCAUGCACUGGAUUCAGAAUUCUAUAACGAAGGAAGACGGCCAGAAUCACCAGCCUAGCUACAAUCACCAUCCGGUAAGGAUUGAUCUUGCUUGAUGCUAUUGGCACUUUUCUUGAUAAAGGCUGUCUUGCUUCAUCCACCCUGCAUUUUCUCACAUCGAUUAGCUGAGAGCAUGUUGCACUUUGUAUUAACUAUUUUAAGCAUCGAAUUUAUGUGUUUGAGAAGAAAUCACUGCAAUCAAGUGAAUCUGAUAGUUAUUAGUAAUAGCUAUACCCAAAAAAAUUUCUAACUAUACAUUUCUGUAUAUCUACAAGUGCAUUCUCAUUUUCACUAA